rnacentral:rRNA from 1 species
UGGAUCCAGACUUUGAUUCCCGCUCAGGAUGAACGCUGGCGGCGUGCUUAACACAUGCAAGUCGAACGAAACACUUUAUUUGAUUUUCUUCGGAAAUGAAGAGUUUGUGAUUGAGUGGCGGACGGGUGAGUAACGCGUGGGUAACCUGCCUCAUACAGGGGGAUAACAGUUGGAAACGGCUGCUAAUACCGCAUAAGCGCACGGUACCGCAUGGUAUUGUGUGAAAAACUCCGGUGGUAUGAGAUGGACCCGCGUCUGAUUAGCCAGUUGGCAGGGUAACGGCCUACCAAAGCGACGAUCAGUAGCCGACCUGAGAGGGUGACCGGCCACAUUGGGACUGAGACACGGCCCAAACCCCUACGGGAGGCAGCAGUGGGGAAUAUCGCACAAUGGGGGGAACCCUGAUGCAGCGACGCCGCGUGAGCGAAGAAGUAUUUCGGUAUGUAAAGCUCUAUCAGCAGGGAAGAAAAAUGACGGUACCUGACUAAGAAGCACCGGCUAAAUACGUGCCAGCAGCCGCGGUAAUACGUAUGGUGCAAGCGUUAUCCGGAUUUACUGGGUGUAAAGGGAGCGCAGGCGGUACGGCAGGUCUGAUGUGAAAGCCCGGGGCUCAACCCCGGU